rnacentral:rRNA from 1 species
GCCUACGGCCAUACUAGUCUGAAAGUGCCUGAUAUCAUGAGAUCUCAGAAGCCAUCCAGACUCGGGCCUGGUUAGUACUUGUAUGGGAGACCAACUAGAAACCUCAGGUGUCGUAAGCU